rnacentral:rRNA from 1 species
CCUACGGGGGGCUGCAGUGGGGAAUAUUGGACAAUGGGGGCAACCCUGAUCCAGCCAUGCCGCGUGUGUGAAGAAGGCCCUCGGGUUGUAAAGCACUUUCAGUGAGGAAGAACGCCUGGUGGUUAAUACCCAUCAGGAAAGACAUCACUCACAGAAGAAGCACCGGCUAACUCCGUGCCAGCAGCCGCGGUGAUACGGAGGGUGCGAGCGUUAAUCGGAAUUACUGGGCGUAAAGCGCGCGUAGGUGGCUUGAUAAGCCGGUUGUGAAAGCCCCGGGCUCAACCUGGGAACGGCAUCCGGAACUGUCAAGCUAGAGUGCAGGAGAGGAAGGUAGAAUUCCCGGUGUAGCGGUGAAAUGCGUAGAGAUCGGGAGGAAUACCAGUGGCGAAGGCGGCCUUCUGGACUGACACUGACACUGAGGUGCGAAAGCGUGGGUAGCAAACAGGAUUAGAUACCCUAGUAGUC